GAUGAACGCUGGCGGCGUGCCUAAUACAUGCAAGUCGAGCGAACAGACGAGGAGCUUGCUCCUCUGACGUUAGCGGCGGACGGGUGAGUAACACGUGGAUAACCUACCUAUAAGACUGGGAUAACUUCGGGAAACCGGCGCUAAUACCGGAUAAUAUAUUGAACCGCAUGGUUCAAUAGUGAAAGACGGUUUUGCUGUCACUUAUAGAUGGAUCCGCGCCGCAUUAGCUAGUUGGUAAGGUAACGGCUUACCAAGGCAACGAUGCGUAGCCGACCUGAGAGGGUGAUCGGCCACACGGGAACUGAGACACGGUCCAGACUCCUACGGGAGGCAGCAGUAGGGAAUCUUCCGCAAUGGGCGAAAGCCUGACGGAGCAACGCCGCGUGAGUGAUGAAGGUCUUCGGAUCGUAAAACUCUGUUAUUAGGGAAGAACAAAUGUGUAAGUAACUAUGCACGUCGUGACGGUACCUAAUCAGAAAGCCACGGCUAACUACGUG
rnacentral:rRNA from 1 species